UUCAAUGCAUUACUCACUGCGAUCCGGUUAUGCAGUUGACUGUUGCAGAUGAAAGCCUGCAUGCUCCUCUGCGUCUCCAGUUUACUGCGUAGUCGGAUUGCCGCUAGUGAUGCUUUGAG